CAGGAAGAAUAAUUGCAGAGAUGAUGAGGGAGAGAGCAUUCGAAGAGCCCAACGCCGAACGAGAGACAAGCUGAAGUCCCGGAAGUCGGCUGCCUUUAAUGGCUUUAUAUCAGACACGACGUCGGCGGUGGGGCCGUCUACCCGACAGCACUUUUCGUAUUCCUAGUCAAAGAUCCGGUCGGUAGUUCACACAACGUCGAUAUAUCGCGUCGACUGUAAACGAUGAUGAUUCGUAUUCGAGAAAUAGUGUUCCAGCCGCGCAGUCCGACCACAGCUCAGCGCUGUGUCGCAUCCUGAGCGCCAUCGCUCUUACCGCGAAAGCUCUCCUGCAAAAAAAUUAUGCAAAUAAUUGCAUGAAACCCCACCAACGUGCAGCAACGAAACAGUUAGACGUAGAACGAUCGUAUGGACCCCGCUAAUGAAGAAUCAGGCGCAACGUGUCCUACCGGCGUCCACCUAGCUCUCACUCCGGAGUGCAGAGUCAGACGGCUGUGUAAUGUUUCACGUGUCAAUGUCACAUACAUAUUUUAGCGCAGUUACACGUGUGUAGGUUGCAGACGGCCCAUAGAGAGCUAUUCUAAAUGUUUAGACCGGCCGCCUGCGUUUCGUGUGAGCAACGGCGUGAUGCUUCAUGCGGCUAGAUUGCGUUCGAGUUCCGUCAUUCUAAUUUUGCAUACUAACAAUUCUGAAAAAUAAAACAAAUAUUGAAUCAGCGCGUUCUAUGUAUAUUAAGUUUAGUCUGCAUCGCAAAGUUUAACAUUGAUUUCUAACUAGACAAUACAAUACAAAAAAUAAACUAGAUUAAUGUUUAUGAGUUUUUAGCGUUACAGGUAUUUCCAAGCUAUUCCCCACCAGGUUAGGCACUUAUUCGUUAAAUAAGAUAGUGAGUGGAAGAGAAAUAAACUCUAAUAAAAUG